rnacentral:rRNA from 1 species
GACGAACGCUGGCGGCGUGCUUAACACAUGCAAGUCGAACGGAAAGGCCCUGCUUUUGUGGGGUGCUCGAGUGGCGAACGGGUGAGUAACACGUGAGUAACCUGCCCUUGACUUUGGGAUAACUUCAGGAAACUGGGGCUAAUACCGGAUAGGAGCUCCUGCUGCAUGGUGGGGGUUGGAAAGUUUCGGCGGUUGGGGAUGGACUCGCGGCUUAUCAGCUUGUUGGGGGUAUUGGCUUACAAAGGCUUUGACGGGUAGCCGGCCUGAGAGGGUGACCGGCCACAUUGGGACUGAGAUACGGCCCAGACUCCUACGGGAGGCAGCAGUGGGGAAUAUUGCACAAUGGGCGGAAGCCUGAUGCAGCAACGCCGCGUGCGGGAUGACGGCCUUCGGGUUGUAAACCGCUUUCGCCUGUGACGAAGCGUGAGUGACGGUAAUGGGUAAAGAAGCACCGGCUAACUCCGUG